GCUCAGGUGGUGGAAUUGGUAGACACGUACGUUUGAGGGGCGUAUGGGGCAACCCAUGCGGGUUCGAGUCCCGCCCUGAGCA
rnacentral:tRNA from 1 species